rnacentral:rRNA from 1 species
UAGGGAAUAUUGGUCAAUGGGCGAGAGCCUGAACCAGCCAAGUCGCGUGAAGGAAGAAGGAUCUAUGGUUCGUAAACUUCUUUUGCAGGGGAAUAAAGUGCGGGACGUGUCCUGUUUUGUAUGUACCCUGAGAAUAAGGAUCGGCUAACUCCGUGCCAGCAGCCGCGGUAAUACGGAGGAUCCGAGCGUUAUCCGGAUUUAUUGGGUUUAAAGGGUGCGUAGGUGGUUUGAUAAGUCAGCGGUGAAAGUUUGCAGCUUAACUGUAAAAAUGCCGUUGAAACUGUCGGACUUGAGUGUAAAUGAGGUAGGCGGAAUGCGUGGUGUAGCGGUGAAAUGCAUAGAUAUCACGCAGAACUCCGAUUGCGAAGGCAGCUUACUAAGCUACAACUGACACUGAAGCACGAAAGCGUGGGUAUCAAACA